rnacentral:rRNA from 1 species
GUGGGGAAUAUUGGACAAUGGGCGAAAGCCUGAUCCAGCCAUGCCGCGUGUGUGAAGAAGGUCUUCGGAUUGUAAAGCACUUUAAGUUGGGAGGAAGGGCAGUAAGUUAAUACCUUGCUGUUUUGACGUUACCGACAGAAUAAGCACCGGCUAACUUCGUGCCAGCAGCCGCGGUAAUACGAAGGGUGCAAGCGUUAAUCGGAAUUACUGGGCGUAAAGCGCGCGUAGGUGGUUUUGUAAGUUGGAGGUGAAAUCCCCGGGCUCAACCUGGGAACUGCCUCGAAAACUGCAUGACUAGAGUACGGUAGAGGGUAGUGGAAUUUCCUGUGUAGCGGUGAAAUGCGUAGAUAUAGGAAGGAACACCAGUGGCGAAGGCGACUACCUGGACUGAUACUGACACUGAGGUGCGAAAGCGUGGGGAGCAAACAGGAUUAGAUACCCCGGUAGUCC